rnacentral:rRNA from 1 species
AUUGAACGCUGGCGGCAUGCCUUACACAUGCAAGUCGAACGGCAGCACGGGGCAACCUGGUGGCGAGUGGCGAACGGGUGAGUAAUGCAUCGGAACGUACCCUGGAGUGGGGGAUAACGCCGCGAAAGCGGCGCUAAUACCGCAUAUGCUCUGAGGAGGAAAGUGGGGGACCGCAAGGCCUCACGCUCUGGGAGCGGCCGAUGUCCGAUUAGCUAGUUGGUGGGGUAAAGGCUUACCAAGGCGACGAUCGGUAGCUGGUCUGAGAGGAUGAUCAGCCACACUGGGACUGAGACACGGCCCAGACUCCUACGGGAGGCAGCAGUGGGGAAUUUUGGACAAUGGGGGCAAGCCUGAUCCAGCAAUGCCGCGUGUGUGAAGAAGGCCUGCGGGUUGUAAAGCACUUUCAGUGGGGGAAGAACGGAUACGGGCCAAUACCCCGCAUCACUGACGUUACCCACAGAAGAAGCACCGGCUAGCUCCGUGCCAACAGCCGCGGUAA